rnacentral:rRNA from 1 species
AACGAACGCUGGCGGCAUGCCUAACACAUGCAGGUCGAACGAGACCUUCGGGUCUAGUGGAGCACGGGUGCGUAACGCGUGGGAACCUGCCCUUAGGUUCGGAAUAACUCCCCGAAAGGGGUGCUAAUACCGGAUAAUGUCUUCGGACCAAAGAUUUAUCGCCUUUGGAUGGGCCCGCGUUGGAUUAGCUAGUUGGUAGGGUAAAAGCCUACCAAGGCGACGAUCCAUAGCUGGUCUGAGAGGAUGAUCAGCCACACUGGGACUGAGACACGGCCCAGACUCCUACGGGAGGCAGCAGUGGGGAAUAUUGGACAAUGGGCGAAAGCCUGAUCCAGCAAUGCCGCGUGAGUGAUGAAGGCCUUAGGGUUGUAAAGCUCUUUUACCCGGGAUGAUAAUGACAGUACCGGGAGAAUAAGCUCCGGCUAACUCCGUG